rnacentral:rRNA from 1 species
CCUACGGGUGGCAGCAGUGGGGAAUAUUGCGCAAUGGGCGAAAGCCUGACGCAGCGACGCCGCGUGAGGGAUGAAGGUCUUCGGAUUGUAAACCUCUGUCAGCAGGGAAGAACGGUCACUGUGCUAAUCAGCAGUGCAUUGACGGUACCUGCAAAGGAAGCACCGGCUAACUCCGUGCCAGCAGCCGCGGUAAUACGGGGGGUGCGUGCGUUAAUCGGAUUUACUGGGCGUGAAGCGCUCGUAGGCGGUAUGUCAAGUCAAGGGUGAAAGCCCCGCGCUCAACGUGGGAACUGCCUUUGAUACUGGCAAACUGGAGUGUGGGAGAGGAUAGUGGAAUUCCAGGUGUAGGAGUGAAAUCCGUAGAUAUCAGGAGGAACACCAGUGGCGAAGGCGACUUUCUGGCACAUAACUGACGCUGAGGAGCGAAAGCGUGGGUAGCAAACAGGAUUAGAUACCCCUGUAGUC